rnacentral:rRNA from 1 species
CAAUAGCGUAUAUUAAUGUUGUUGCAGUUAAAAAGCUCGUAGUUGGAUUUCUGGUGGGAGCGGCCGGUCCGCCGUAAGGUGUGUACUUGGUUGUCUCCUGUCAUCCUUGUGGGAACUGCUCUGGCAUUAAGUUGUCGGGGUUAGGGAACACAUCGUUUACUGUGAAAAAAUUAGAGUGUUUAAAGCAGGCUUAUGCCGUUGAAUACAUUAGCAUGGAAUAAUAAGAUAGGACUUUGGCGUCUAUUUUGUUGGUUUGCACACCAAGGUAAUGAUUAAUAGGGAUAGUUGGGGGUAUUCAUAUUUAAUUGUCAGAGGUGAAAUUCUUGGAUUUAUGAAAGACGAACUUCUGCGAAAGCAUUUACCAAAGAUGUUUUCAUUAA